rnacentral:rRNA from 1 species
CCUACGGGGGGCAGCAGUGAGGAAUAUUGGUCAAUGGCCGGAAGGCUGAACCAGCCAUGCCGCGUGAAGGUCAGUGCCCUAUGGGCGUUAAACUUCUUUUGUGCGGGAGCAAUAAUGGUCACGUGUGGCCAGACGAGAGUACCGUACGAAUAAGCAUCGGCUAACUCCGUGCCAGCAGCCGCGGUAAUACGGGGGAUGCAAGCGUUAUCCGGAUUUAUUGGGUUUAAAGGGUGCGUAGGCUGUGAGGUAAGUCAGCGGUGAAAUGCCCCCGCUCAACGGGGUGAAGUGCCAUUGAUACUGCCUGGCUGGAAUGCGGAAGCCGUAGGAGGAAUGUGUGGUGUAGCGGUGAAAUGCAUAGAUAUCACACAGAACACCGAUUGCGAAGGCAUCUCACGAAUCCGCGAUUGACGCUGAUGCACGAAAGCGUGGGUAUCAAACAGGAUUAGAUACCCUGGUAGUC